AAAAGAUCAGCUCUGAUCCUGUGUCAGUGACCAGGACUCAUCACAGAAACUCCUCACAAUGAGGUUCCCUGCUCAGCUGCUGGGGCUGCUGGUGCUCUGGAUCCCAGGAUCCAGUGGGGAUGUCGUGAUGACGCAGACCCCAACUUCCCUGGCCGUCACCCUGGGACAGCCGGCCUCCAUUUCCUGCAGGGCCAGUCAGAGCCUCCUCUACAGUGAUGGAAACACCUAUUUAGAUUGGUACCUACAGAAGCCAGGCCAGUCUCCACGGCUACUCAUCUAUGAGGUUUCCAACCGUUACUCCGGAGUCCCAGACAGGUUCAGUGGCAGCGGGUCAGGGACAGAUUUCACCCUGAGAAUCAGCAGGGUGGAGGCUGAGGACAUUGGAGUUUACUACUGCAUGCAAGGUACACAUGCUCCUCCCACAGUGGUUCAGCCCCGAACACAAACCUCCAUCCUGUCAUGGCCCCACUGCCCACACGUGCUAUUAGUCUGCGGAGCAGGCCCAGCAGAUCUGACUCUCUGGAGGAAGACUAG